rnacentral:rRNA from 1 species
UACGUAGGGGGCAAGCGUUGUCCGGAAUCAUUGGGCGUAAAGCGCGCGUAGGUGGCCUCAUAAGUCCGCUGUGAAAGUCAAAGGCUCAACCUUUGAAAGCCGGUGGAUACUGUGGGGCUAGAGUACGGAAGAGGCGAGUGGAGUUCCUGGUGUAGCGGUGGAAUGCGCAGAUAUCAGGAGGAACACCAAUAGCGAAGGCAGCUCGCUGGGACGUUACUGACAUUGAGGCGCGAAAGCGUGGGGAGCGAACAGG